UACAGAGGGGGCAAGCGUUGUUCGGAAUUACUGGGCGUAAAGGGCGCGUAGGCGGCCUGCUAAGUCGGACGUGAAAUCCCCCGGCUCAACCGGGGAACUGCGUCCGAUACUGGUGGGCUCGAAUCCGGGAGAGGGAUGUGGAAUUCCAGGUGUAGCAGUGAAAUGCGUAGAUAUCUGGAGGAACACCGGUGGCGAAGGCGGCAUCCUGGACCGGUAUUGACGCUGAGGCGCGAAAGCCAGGGGAGCAAACGGG
rnacentral:rRNA from 1 species